CAAAAUUCUGAGAAGAAAAAUGGAGCUCAGAAUUCUAAACCUAGCCAAACUAUCCAUCAAAUGAGCUGUUAACAGUGCUUGUUUCUGAAGAGGAGGCCUCGGCUGGAAUGGUUUCCAGCAGAAAUUGUCACCUGGUGAGAAGCAACAAUUACUUAACUACGAAUAUCAGGUGCUUAAUACAUGUUUGCUGACUGAACAAAUGGUUGUUAUCUUGGAGUCCGGAAAAAAGAUGGAAAAUAAAACAACAAAGGAGAGACCCCUUGGAUUUGCGUGUUACUCCCAGAACAACCUUAGAUGAUUUCCUGUGUGAAGAAUAAAGAGAUGAGCAGUGAAGAUGAGCAGUCUGAGUUUUCCUUAAAAUUUUAAUAAAUCAUAUUUGAGCCU